ensembl:lncRNA
UGAAAACAGCUCCCUCUCCCAAAUUAGGGGCAUCUUGAUACUUCUUCACUUUUAAUACCUCUGUCCCUCUGUCUUGCUCCACCCAUUUUUAUACAUUUCCUGUAUAUUUAACACCAUCUUUGACCUCUGCUCAUAAAUCUGUUGUGUGGACUUGCAGAACCCUCUGAGAUAUACAGCUACUUAAUUUUUCCAGACUGACAUCCUUGGAUGUGAAAGACUUCGAGCCUGGGGGCACCCAGACGAGCCACAGGGGUCCCACACACUAGGGUCUUUGAUGAUCAGCAUCAUGUGGGGCUGACCCUGGAGCCUCACUGGUGCAUCAGGCAGAACUUGAGUCCCCACCCACCGCACAGCCCAGAAAGCUGCUAGGAUGUGCUGUUUGAACAAACCUUGAUGAAUUUUUCCCUCAUCAGUGUCAUAGAGGUGUCAGUGGCCUUCCCACCCUAUGGAGCAAGAGACUAGAGUUGGCAUGCCCCAGGCAAACUCCUCUUCAACUCAGCGCCUCCCUCCCCUGCCUGGAUUAAAAAACAAGCAUCCUUUACAUCGGGAAUUAAUUCCUUUGUAUCUGGAAUUUGCCAAGAAGAAGGCCACCCCUCCAUGGCUACAGAGAAAAUGCCACUGUUGAUCUCAGCAUCCCACCCAUGUCCGCUGGUCUUUGGUUCCCAAAGGGGAGGUCAGACCACUUACAGCAGGCGCAUCCCGGCCCGGUAAUUGUUUCGGAGAAACAGUAAGGCUAGAGCUGG